rnacentral:rRNA from 1 species
AUUGAACGCUGGCGGCAGGCCUAACACAUGCAAGUCGAGCGGUAGAGAGAAGCUUGCUUCUCUUGAGAGCGGCGGACGGGUGAGUAAAGCCUAGGAAUCUGCCUGGUAGUGGGGGAUAACGUUCGGAAACGGACGCUAAUACCGCAUACGUCCUACGGGAGAAAGCAGGGGACCUUCGGUCCUUGCGCUAUCAGAUGAGCCUAGGUCGGAUUAGCUAGUUGGUGAGGUAAUGGCUCACCAAGGCGACGAUCCGUAACUGGUCUGAGAGGAUGAUCAGUCACACUGGAACUGAGACACGGUCCAGACUCCUACGGGAGGCAGCAGUGGGGAAUAUUGGACAAUGGGCGAAAGCCUGAUCCAGCCAUGCCGCGUGUGUGAAGAAGGUCUUCGGAUUGUAAAGCACUUUAAGAUGGGAGGAAGGGCAUUAACCUAAUACGUUAGUGUUUUGACGUUACCGACAGAAUAAGCACCGGCUAACUCUGUGCCAGCCGCCGCGGUAA